rnacentral:rRNA from 1 species
GACGAACGCUGGCGGCGUGCUUAACACAUGCAAGUCGAGCGGUAAGGCCCUUUCGGGGGUACACGAGCGGCGAACGGGUGAGUAACACGUGGGUGACCUGCCCUUAGCUCUGGGAUAAGCCUGGGAAACUGGGUCUAAUACCGGAUAUGACUCCAUGACGCAUGUUGUGGGGUGGAAAGCCUUGUGCGGCUAGGGAUGGGCCCGCGGCCUAUCAGCUUGUUGGUGGGGUGAUGGCCUACCAAGGCGACGACGGGUAGCCGGCCUGAGAGGGCGACCGGCCACACUGGGACUGAGACACGGCCCAGACUCCUACGGGAGGCAGCAGUGGGGAAUCUUGCGCAAUGGGCGAAGCCUGACGCAGCGACGCCGCGUGAGGGAUGACGGCCU